rnacentral:rRNA from 1 species
UACAGAGGGUGCGAGCGUUGUUCGGAAUUAUUGGGCGUGAAGGGCGCGUAGGCGGUGCGGUAAGUCACCUGUGAAAUCUCCUGGCUCAACUGGGAGCUUGCAGGCGAAACUGCCGUGCUGGAGUGUGGGAGAGGUGCGUGGAAUUCCUGGUGUAGCGGUGAAAUGCGUAGAUAUCAGGAGGAACACCUGUGGCGAAAGCGGCGCACUGGACCACAACUGACGCUGAGGCGCGAAAGCUAGGGGAGCAAACAGG